rnacentral:rRNA from 1 species
GAUGAACGCUGGCGGCGUGCCUAAUACAUGCAAGUCGAGCGAACAGACGAGGAGCUUGCUCCUCUGACGUUAGCGGCGGACGGGUGAGUAACACGUGGAUAACCUACCUAUAAUACUGGGAUAACUUCGGGAAACCGGAGCUAAUACCGGAUCAUAUAUUGAACGGCAUGGUUCAAUAGUGAAUGACGGCUUUGCUGUUACAUAUAGAUGGAUCCGUGCCGGAUUAGCUAGUUGGUAAGGUAACGGCUUACCAAGGCGACGAUGCGUAGCCGACCUGAGAGGAUGAUCGGCCACACUGGAACUGAGACACGGUCCAGACUCCUACGGGAGGCAGCAGUAGGGAAUCUUCCGCAAUGGGCGAAAGCCUGACGCAGCAACACCGCGUGAGUGAUGAAGGUCUUCGGAUCGUAAAACUCUGUUGUUAGGGAAGAACAACAGUGUAAGUAACUAUGCACGUCCUGACGGUACCUAAUCAGAAAGCCACGGCUAACUACGUG